CCUACGGGAGGCAGCAGUGAGGAAUAUUGGUCAAUGGCCGGAAGGCUGAACCAGCCAAGUCGCGUGAGGGACGACUGCCCUAUGGGUUGUAAACCUCUUUUAUAAGGGAAGAAUAAAUGCUACGUGUAGCAUGAUGCCUGUACCUUAUGAAUAAGCAUCGGCUAACUCCGUGCCAGCAGCCGCGGUAAUCCGGAGGAUGCGAGCGUUAUCCGGAUUUAGUGGGUUUCAAGGGUGCGUAGGCGGUUUUCUAAGUUAGUGGUUAAUCGUCGGGGCUUCACCUUGAAUUGCCAUUGAUACUGUAAGGCUCGAGUUCGGACGAGGUAGGCGGAAUGAGUGGAGUAGCGGUGAAAUGCGUAGAUAUAACUUAGAACGCCGAUAGCGAAGGCAGCUUACCAGACUGCGACUGACGCUGAGGCACGAGAGCGUGGGUAGCGAACAGGAUUAGAUACCCGUGUAGUC
rnacentral:rRNA from 1 species